AUGGAGCCGCGGCGCCUGAGCCUGGCAGCAGUGGAAGAUGGAGCCUCGGCGCCUGAGCCUGGCGGCGGCGGAGACGGAGCUCGAUGUGCUGGAGUCACCGGCGCUAUCUUGCUGCCGGAGAUGGAGCUCGAGGUACUCGGAGGUGGGGAGCUCGAGGUGCUGGGUGCGGGAGCUCGAGGAGCUGACGCCGGCGACGGGAUCCUAGUGCUGGGGAUGGAGCUCGAGGUUCUGGCAGGCGGGAGAUUGAGGUUCUUAUCUCUACUCCUAAUGAAGCAGUUGGUGAAUAGUCCGCCGGUUAUUUUUCGCUGGUUUUAUUUUGCCUCAUCAUUUUCGUUGGUUUUAUUUCGUCUUCUUCCCAUCCGCCUUUUCGCUUCACCACUCACAUAA
rnacentral:rRNA from 1 species